rnacentral:rRNA from 1 species
UUAGGAAUCUGCCUAUUAGUGGGGGACAACGUUCCGAAAGGAGCGCUAAUACCGCAUACGUCCUACGGGAGAAAGCAGGGGACCUUUGGGCCUUGCGCUAAUAGAUGAGCCUAAGUCGGAUUAGCUAGUUGGUAGGGUAAAGGCCUACCAAGGCGACGAUCUGUAGCGGGUCUGAGAGGAUGAUCCGCCACACUGGGACUGAGACACGGCCCAGACUCCUACGGGAGGCAGCAGUGGGGAAUAUUGGACAAUGGGGGGAACCCUGAUCCAGCCAUGCCGCGUGUGUGAAGAAGGCCUUUUGGUUGUAAAGCACUUUAAGCGAGGAGGAGGCUACCUAGAUUAAUACUUUAGGAUAGUGGACGUUACUCGCAGAAUAAGCACCGGCUAACUCUGUGCCAGCAGCCGCGGUAAUACAGAGGGUGCGAGCGUUAAUCGGAUUUACUGGGCGUAAAGCGUGCGUAGGCGGCCAAUUAAGUCAAAUGUGAAAUCCCCGAGCUUAACUUGGGAAUUGCAUUCGAUACUGGUUGGCUAGAGUAUGGGAGAGGAUGGUAGAAUUCCAGGUGUAGCGGUGAAAUGCGUAGAGAUCUGGAGGAAUACCGAUGGCGAAGGCAGCCAUCUGGCCUAAUACUGACGCUGAGGUACGAAAGCAUGGGGAGCAAACAGGAUUAGAUACCUGGUAGUCCAUGCCGUAAACGAUGUCUACUA